UUUGUGGAAAUAAGUAUGUUAAAACUCGAGGGAAUGUUUGGUUUCAAUCCCGAGUUCAUUCUGCUCUGGUAAAAGCUCGGUUUCAAUUUGAGUUGAACGGUUAUUGAAAUGCUCGGUUUAUCUUCUUUGGAUGUGUCCCUGUCAUCAUUUAUGAUAACUUUGUUCCACCAUUUUUUUGAGACUUUGAACUGGGAGUCAUUUGCUGUGUUUGUUCUCUCUGUUUGUUCUCCAUUCUCCUGUGUUAUCUCUCUGUUUCUUCCCUUCCCGCAGCUUUGCUCUCCAUUCUCCUGUGGAGUCUUCACCUCCUUGGGUUCGAAUGAGUUUCCGGUGGUAUUCACGCUAUUUCUCAACGUCGGGGGUGAAUUAUUCAAUUCUAGGGUUUGAUUCUCUGCGGCUCCAGUUCAGGUUGUUUUCGUGAUCCAAUCUCGUUUGGCUUACGAUGGUCAUGUUGAACCAAGGAAGCGCGCUGAACAUACAGGUCAAGGGAACUUCAAGGUUUUGAUCAAAAUGCUCACAGGGGGAUACAAAAAAAGUCAUGUAUAUGGUAAUAGUUUACGUUUCCUAUUAAUUUUUUUAUCCACUUUGUCUUAUUUAAUACUAACAGGAGCUUAUUUAAUAAUAACCGGAGCAUUUGGGACUCUAUUGGUGGUUAUAAACAUUUGGAUUGGUACCAUUCUACCGGGCAAGUGAAUGAAAAAAAACGAUGUUUACAGCUUUGGAGGUUUGCUCUGCUAGAGCUCAUUACCGGGAAAACAACAAUAGUUGAAGGCAAUGCAAACACUAAUUUGGUUCAAUGGGUAACUCCUCUGUAUGAAAGAUAGAAAGCAUAUUCGACUCAAGGCUGCUGCUAGAGGUGAAAACUACAAACACUGUCUGGAGACCAACAGAGUUGGCUAUGAGUGAUAGAAAUUUAGGGUUUGACUUUAGGGUUUAAUAGAAAUACGAAGGAAUAAAACCCGAGAAGCUGAGACAUAAAUCCAAGGCAAGAUCUUGACCCGUUUUCGUGCAAGUUUGUGGCAAAGAAUAACUCAAGGUGGUAGUGGUGGUAGUUGUGGGCGUGGUGGAUACAAUAUAAAAUACUUUUAAGAACACUUGAGUGAUUUUUGGUCAGGAGAUGAAGGUGGAAGAUGAAGGGGAAAACGACCUUUCUGGGACCUCAUUGCUCUUGUCGUAGUCUGAAGAAAGAGAUGAAUAAUGAAAUGCACUGAUAAAUGGGAGGAGGUCAAAGGCAAAUCAAUCUGAACUUAGGUAAUUGAUGAUUUAAUUUUGUAAAAGUGAAGAGAAAACAUAAUAUGCGUUUAAGAGAAUGAGAUCUCAAAACAUUUCUUUGUUUACACUUUAUUAUUGGAAUUUGUAUUUGUGUUGAAUGUUUCCUUUGUUUAGCCAUCAAAUGUACGUUUUAGCCUGGACUACAAGGCAUUUCUGUAGUACAUUUUAUCUCCUACUGACU